rnacentral:tRNA from 1 species
GGAAAUAUAGCACAACGGUAGUGCAGCUGUUUAUUGAACAGAAAAAAUAAAAGUUCAGAAGAUCGUGGGUUCGACUCCUACAUUCCCG